GAAAAAGGAAGAUAUUCUGUCUUUACUAGUCUUUCGUCCAUCCCUUUCACUGUCCAGAGCCUAACAUCUGUGAAUUUAAAACUCCACUCUUUCUACCUUCUUCCUUCCAGUCUUUUCAGUCAAGUGUUUCAUAACAAAUGGACAAGAGCUAAACUUAACCAUGUGUUUAGAAAGGAGCAUAAACAGAACUGCCCUACAUUAUUUAACACUCUUUCCUUCCCCUUCAGGUCCAGAGACAUCUGAGGACUCAUACAGAUAAUUGACACUACAGGAAAUCAGCUCCAUGAUAAAAAAAAAAAAAUGAGUGGCUGACUUUGGAAGGAAAGGGACAAGGACUGUCUAGGACAAAGCAAAAGGGUACUCUCUGGAAUAAAGACUGCAGCCCGUCAAGCUCCUCUGUCCAUGGAAUUCUUC